AGAGUUUGAUCCUGGCUCAGGAUGAACGCUAGCGACAGGCUUAACACAUGCAAGUCGAGGGGCAUCGGGGAGUAGCAAUACUCUGCCGGCGACCGGCGCACGGGUGAGUAACGCGUAUGCAACUUACCUAUCAGAGGAGAAUAGCUCAUCGAAAGAUGAAUUAAUGCUCCAUGAAACAGGGGUCCCGCAUGGGAAUAUUUGUUAAAGAUUCAUCGCUGAUAGAUAGGCAUGCGUUCCAUUAGGCAGUUGGCGGGGUAACGGCCCACCAAACCGACGAUGGAUAGGGGUUCUGAGAGGAAGGUCCCCCACAUUGGUACUGAGACACGGACCAAACUCCUACGGGAGGCAGCAGUGAGGAAUAUUGGUCAAUGGACGAGAGUCUGAACCAGCCAAGUAGCGUGAAGGAUGAAGGUUCUAUGGAUUGUAAACUUCUUUUAUACGGGAAUAAACGGAUCCACGUGUGGAUUUUUGCAUGUACCGUAUGAAUAAGGAUCGGCUAACUCCGUGCCAGCAGCCGCGGUAAUACGGAGGAUCCGAGCGUUAUCCGGAUUUAUUGGGUUUAAAGGGAGCGUAGAUGGGUUGUUAAGUCAGUUGUGAAAGUUUGCGGCUCAACCGUAAAAUUGCAAUUGAUACUGGCAGUCUUGAGUACAGUUGAGGUAGGCGGAAUUCGUGGUGUAGCGGUGAAAUGCUUAGAUAUCACGAAGAACUCCGAUUGCGAAGGCAGCUCACUGGAGCGCAACUGACGCUGAAGCUCGAAAGUGCGGGUAUCGAACAGGAUUAGAUACCCUGGUAGUCCGCACGGUAAACGAUGGAUGCCCGCUGUUGGUCUGAAUAGGUCAGCGGCCAAGCGAAAGCAUUAAGCAUCCCACCUGGGGAGUACGCCGGCAACGGUGAAACUCAAAGGAAUUGACGGGGGC
rnacentral:rRNA from 1 species